rnacentral:rRNA from 1 species
GAUGAACGCUGGCGGCGUGCUUAACACAUGCAAGUCGAACGGAGUUAUCAUUUCAGAAGCAAUUAGCUUGCUGAGAGUGGAAGAGAGGAUAACUUAGUGGCGGACGGGUGAGUAACGCGUGGGGAACCUGCCCUGCACCGGGGGAUAACACCUGGAAACAGGUGCUAAUACCGCAUAAGCGCACGAGGCCGCAUGGCCAGGUGUGAAAAACUAAGGUGGUGCAGGAUGGACCCGCGUCUGAUUAGCUUGUUGGUAGGGUAACGGCCUACCAAGGCGACGAUCAGUAGCCGGCCUGAGAGGGUGAACGGCCACAUUGGGACUGAGACACGGCCCAA